UGCUGGCCUCAAACUCCACCCCCACCUGCAGCUGGAAACACCUGGGGGGUCUCACCUGCCCCAGACCCCUCCCCAAAUUCCAAACCCCCAAAUUCCCAAAUUUUCCUGAAUUUUCCCGAAUUUUUUUCCCAUUUUUUUCCAUUUUUUAGUGAUUUUUUCCCAAUUUUUGGGUUUUUUUCCCAAUUUUUGGGAGCCCCACCUGCAGCUGGAAACACCUGGGGGGUCUCACCUGCCCCAGACCCCUCCCCAAAUUCCAAACCCCCCAAUUCCCAAAUUUUCCUGAAUUUUCCCCAAUUUUUUCCCAUUUUUUCCUGAUUUUUUAGCGAUUUUUAGCAAUUUUUUCCCAUUUUUUGAUGAUUUUUUCCCAAUUUUGGGGUUUUUUCCCCCAUUUUUAACAGCUGGAAACACCUGGGGGGUCUCACCUGCCCCAGACCCCUCCCCAAAUUCCAAACCCCCAAAUUCCCAAAUUUCCCUGAAUUUUCCCGAAUUUUUUUCCCAUUUUUUUCCAUUUUUUAGUGAUUUUUUCCCAAUUUUUGGGUUUUUUUCCCAAUUUUUGGGAGCCCCACCUGCAGCUGGAAACACCUGGGGGGUCUCACCUGGCCUGGGACCCCUCCCCAAAUUCCAAACCCCCAAAUUCCCAAAUUUUCCCAUUUUUUCCCCAAUUUUUUCCCAUUUUUUCCUGAUUUUUUAGCGAUUUUUAGCAAUUUUUUCCCAUUUUUUGAUGAUUUUUUCCCAAUUUUGGGGUUUUUUCCCCCAUUUUUAACAGCUGGAAACACCUGGGGGGGUCUCACCUGCCCCAGACCCCUCCCCAAAUUCCAAACCCCCAAAUUCCCAAAUUUUCCUGAAUUUUCCCGAAUUUUUCCCAAUUUUUUUCCCAUUUUUUUGCGAUUUUUUAGUGAUUUUUUGCAAUUUUUUCCCAUUUUUUGGGGUUUUUUCCCCAUUUUUGGGAGCCCCACCUGCAGCUGGAAACACCUGGGGGGUCUCACCUGCCCUGGGACCCCUCCCCAAAUUCCAAACCCCCACAUUCCCAAAUUUUCCUGAAUUUUCCCAAAUUUUUCCCCAUUUUUUUAGCAAUUUUUUCCCAUUUUUAAACAAUUUUUUCCCAAUUUUUGGGGGUUUUUCCCCAUUUUUGGGGUGUCCAGGUGUGUUUCAGGUGUCCCCAGGUGUAUUUUGGUGUCCCCAGGUGUAUUUUUGGGGUGUCCAGGUGCGUUUUUGGGGUGUCCAGGUGUGUUUUUGGUGUCCCCAGGUGUGUUUUUGGGGUGUCCAGGUGUAUUUUGGGGUGUCCAGGUGUGUUUUUGGGGUGUCCAGGUGCAUUU
rnacentral:lncRNA from 1 species